GUGUAGGACAAGUUAUUAAAGGGUGGGAUGUUCGAGUUGAGGGCAUGCGUGUUGGGGACAAGAGAAGGCUUACCAUUCCACCAGAGAUGGGUUAUGGACGUAAGGGAGCAGGUGGUGCAAUUCCUCCAAAUUCGUGGCUUGUGUUUGAUGUUGAGUUAAAUGAUGUUCGUUAAUUCUCGGACCUAUCAAUCAAACAAAUUUUUGGCAGCUGUGAGGG